AGAACAGUCAGUGCUCUUAACUGCUGAGUCGUCUCUCCAGACCAUAGCUUAUUUUUAAAAGGAAGAAAUUUCCAAGGGCUGGAGAGAUGAUGUCAACAGUUAAAAAGUGCUUGCUCCUCUUCCAGGGUACCACUUUGGUUCCCAGCACCUUUAUCAGGUGGUUCACAAUCAUAGCUCCAGGGAAUCCAGUGCUUCUGGUCCCAUGGGCGCCUCUACUCAUAUAUACACUCACACACACCCCUAAAAUUAAAAAAUAAUUUUAAAAUCUUUUUAUUUUUAAUUCCAUCUAAAAAAGAUUCAGAGCCUGCCAUGUGGCCUGGUGGGUAAAAGGCACUUACUGCCAAGUUUGACAACUUACAUUUGUUCCUGAGCCCUACCUGGUAGAAGAAGAAAACCAACUCCAAGUUGUAUUCUGACCUCCCCAGGUAGCCUGUGGCAUGCACACAUAUACACACAUACUCAAAUAAUUUAAGUCUUUAGAGAAAACUCAGCUUUGAAACAUAUAGCUAAUCUCAUUAUUCCAGGACAGGUCUCUGCUGCUUUUCUGUAUUUCUUGUGUGUUGGUACAUGUGAUAGUCUCUUGAUUUUAAAUUCCUGUCAGACUGGUUAGGCAGUUCUGACUUUUAGAGCCUCUCAGCUUCAGGUGGCUUUUGCCGACUGUGCUGCUGAUAUCAAAUCCACGUAUGAAACCCACGAUGCCAGGCAAACUGCUCCUGAUUGGUCAGCCAACUCUCUGAACUGUACAGCUGUCCUCUUCUUAAGAGGUGGCAGAACCCAGGAAGCCUGGCGAAUGUUGGAGCUUUUCAGAAAGCAUAAUAAGAUCCCUAGAAAUGAGUUACUAAAUGAGUUUAUGGACAUUGCAAAAGCAUCCAGUAGUCCCGCUCAGGCCAUUGUGGUUGUGAAGUUGGCAAGUGCCUUUAGCUUGUCCAACUAUGAGAGGCUUGCCCAAAGAGUAAGCACGGAUUUUGUAAUCGACCCAAAAGAAAAAGAAGCCUUGGGUAACCUGACUGCACUGAAUAAGGACAGCAAUGCUGACAGCGGCAGUGACAGUGACAUCGACAUCAAUUAGAGAAGAUAAGUGAGAGCUGGCUCACUGUAGCUGCUGGAGUAUUCGCCAGUGAUCAGAGGAAGUGCUGGGGGGUAAUGUGAGCUCAGCAGCAUGGCAGCAGCCUGGCACGUGAAGGCCCUGGAGUUCAUCCGAGCAACUGUACCUCAAGAGAUACAGAUCUGUCUGGUUCGUCGCUGUGCAGCAAAUUGAUACCGUACUGAUGUUAGAUUAAGCUCUCCACUCUAUCAGCGCACUACUAAAGGUUUAUGCAGCAGCACUGCAGUUUCUUUUCUUCAGAGGUCUGUGGCUCUUGGAGAACAAGCCCUACACACCGGCGGUGUUCGCAGGCCUACUUCCUUCCACUGAAACCCAUCUGUGUAGUGCUCACUGGCCCUUAUUGGCCUUAGAGACAAGACUAUAAAUGGUUUUCAUACAAUUAAAUCAUAAUUGCUGUUGGAUCAAUUGUAUCCCAAUUUUGGGAGUACUUCGAUAUGUAUAAUUGUCUUAAAACUGAUUAAACUGGAAACAAGCAGAUUACUGUUUUUAGGCUGCAUAACUGGUAAAAUGAAGACCAAAUACAUACAGCAGUAUACACGUGUAUUAUGUUUCUAUUUUAAAAAUUUGAAUACAAGCCAGACGUGGUGGUGCAUGCCUUUAAUCCCAGCACUUGGGAGGCAGAGGUAGGCGGAUUUUUGUGAGUUCAAGGCCAGCCUGGUCUACAUAAUGAAUUCCAGGCCAGCUGGGGCUACAGGGAGACCCUGUCUCAAAACAAAAAUAGUAAUAAAAAUAAAAAUUUGAAUACAGACUUUGUCUUUCGUGUGUGCAUCUUCCUGUGGAGGCUAGAGGUCAAUGUCAAGUUGGCUUCUCUACACUUUUUUUUUUUUUUUUCAUCUUUUUGAGACCCAGUCUC
ensembl:lincRNA